rnacentral:lncRNA from 1 species
CUGACCCUCGAGCUGGUCGCUCUCCUGCGCUGCUGAUACGGCCCGUCCUGUCUCCAGUUUUUACGAGCACAGGGCUUGGGUAAAGUUCAACACUGUCAAGCUUACAUCUAUGGAUCUCCUUCCGUGUGUCCAGCCCUGGCGAGUGAAGUGAUGUGAUGGCUACAGCACAUGCAGUCAUCUUGGACCAUGAGGCAACAUUGACCAUAGAAUCCAUGUGCUAAGGAUGGCAAAGCAGAAAAAUGGAAAGUAUGUGAGAAAGAGAUAAAUGUCUCUGUUGCUCAGGAGCUUGUGAAGAUCUCUGUUAGUAACAGCUGAAGCAAUUCCUCACUUACAUACUUAGGCACAGAGGUUAAGUUACUCAUGUAAGAUGUCAUAGCUGGUAAGUACAAGAGGCAGGAUAUAACCCCGGACAGUGGCUACAAAGCCCGUGGUUUGUAAGCUUCUGUGCAGGGCUCAGUUUUGCUUUCCCUGCUGCCCCAGCCCAGCCCAGGAGGUCUGCCAACCUGGUCAAUAGCUCCCUCAGAAACAUACCCAAGUUUGUUUUCUCCCCAGGCCCGUGGCUAGGCUGGCAGAGACGCAGUUCCUCAGGUUCAGGAAAGGCCACGUGAGGACGCAGUGCGAAGGUGGCCAUCUGCAAGCCAGGAAGAGAGCCCUUACCAGAAUCUGAACCCUGACCUGGCACUUUCAGGCUCCAGAACUGUGAGAAGUAGCUGGAGGUGGUUUGUGAGCCCCAGAUCUGCGCUGAGAUGGAUGGAGAUAAGUUUCGCAGCGUUAUUUCCAGCCUCAAAUCCUUUCGGGAACAGUGGAUCUCUGUAGCAGUCAAGGUUAAACCAGAAAACCGCUCACAUCUGCAGGACCUGCAUGCAGGCAUUGGGGUCACAGGUGAUGGAUAAACAAAUGGGGACACUGCAACAACCCAGAGAUUUGUCACCAUGGUGGAGUCACCAUCCCCCUAGGCUGGGGGCAGAGGGAUCCCAGGCACCACAAGGAGACUGUUCAGUGAGAGUUGGAACCUGGGAAGAGACGAAAAUGCCACAGCACUACCUUGUGGGGCAGGCAGGGAAGGGACACACUCAGCACUCUUCCCCACUCACGCUCUCCAAACUCUGUGCCAGCACCUCCCAUUCGCGAUACCAGCAGGAAGCCAGCUGGCCUGGCAGCUUGGAAACACAGCCCAGGGUCCGCACUGCUGCCAUACAAAGCAAAGUGAGGGGGAUGAGAAAUGACUCGGGCAUGCUGGCCCAGGACCAGUACCACCCUCCAUUGUCCUGAUACCUUUGAAAGGCUGUCAUUAUUGAGGAAUUGAACAGCCUAACUGUUACGAGCUGAAUUGUGUCCCGGACCAAAUUCAUAUGUUGAAGUCCCAGUACCUCAGAAUGUGAUCAUAUGCGGAGAUAAGGUCUGUAAAGAGACGAUUAAAUUAAAAAGAGGCCAUUAGGGUGACCCUAAUCCAAUCUGACUGGUGUCCUUAUAACCAGAGGAGAUUAAGACACACAGAGACAUCAGAGGUAUGCACACAGAAGGAAGACCACGUGAGG